AUGUGGUUUUACAUUAAUUUUUGUGUUUCUCAGGGUUUUGAAGGGCAUCCAGCAGAAAAAGGAGAGAAAGGCAUAAUUGGUUUACCUGGUCUCAGAGGCCCGCCUGGAUAUCCAGGAAGAAAUGGCUUUCCAGGAUAUAAGGUACACAUUUUAAUCAUUUAUAAUUUACUAUUAAUAAGGAUUUAUUUAUUUUAAAAUGAUAGGUUUGUUGAAUUAUACUGUUGGUCACUUCUGAUGUUAUGUUUUUACAUAUACAGGGGGCACUAGGGGAAAAUGGUCUCCCUGGUCUAUUUGGCAACCCAGGGCCAAAGGUCAGGCACACAUUCUGAUUAGACAUUGUAUAAAAAAAAAUGAUUUUGUAAGAGUCAUCUACUUGCAGUAUAUUGUCAUUUGUUUGCUGACACUGCUGCUGUGAAUGUGUAACAGGGCUACCCAGGAGACCCCGGACCUAAAGGAAACCCAAAAUACCAUUACAACAAUAUGAUGGGUAAUGGAGUUAACAUUAGAUCAAACACAAAGACAUGUGAAAUGUACUGUACUUUUUGUGGUUAGGUACAGUAUUUACCAUGAAGAUUGUGUCACUUUAUUUCUUAAAUAAAUUUGCAGUGCAAACUAGAGUUCUUUAUAUUGAGAGUUUCAGAUUCAAUUAAAUUCAAUUCAAGUUUAUUUGUAUAGCGCUUUUUUACGAUACAAUCAUUGCAAAGCAACUUUACAGAAAAUUAAGUUUCUACAAUAUUUAGUAGUAGCUUAUCAGUGGUGACUGUCAGUUCAUGUGCAUACGGCAGAAAUGUUCAGAAAAAUCAAUAAAAGACGUAAACAAACAGACAAUUAACACUAUUAACAGCAAUUAUGCAAUCAAACUUAUAGCAAAAUGUGGUAGUUCUGUAUGUUGUCUCUGGGUUAGCAUCAUCUGAGAUCCUCUGAGGGGGUGGCAUCAUCUCUUCUCAGGUAUUCUGGAUCCAGACUGGAGCUUGUGUAAAUCCUAGUUACCACGGGAUGUAAAUCCCAGCAGAAACAGAGAAACAAAUAGAGACAUAAUUAGCGUAGCUGCUGUUCCAGCCAAGUAAAAUUAAUUAGUUUAACCCAAGCUAAAGAAUAAUAAUGCGCAUUUGAUUUGAUGAUGCAGAUGAGGUGGAUCUGUUUGGAGAGUUUUUAUACAUCAUUGUAUUUUUAUAUAUCAAAUGUAUAAUAUAAUAUAUAUAUAAAUAUGAUAUUUAAUUUUAAAAGUUCUUAAAUUUGUGUAUUAUAAAAGGUCAUGUUUUUUAAUUAUUUUUUUUAUUAACAGACAAAAACAAUAAUACAAAGGGUUAAACCAUAUUACGGUAGAAUAAUAGAAACAGAACAAUAAUAAUAAUUCUAAAAAAAAACUAAAAAAAAAACAAUAGAUAAUACAAUGAAAAUAAAAUAUAUAAAAUUCUCAGUCUGACAUUGACCUAGCUAUUUGCCCCUCAGCCCAUUCUAUCUCAUAUAGUACAAGUAAACCAGUUAUUCAGGAAAAAGGUUAUUCAAUUACAAAUCUUCCCUUAAAUAUAAUCUCUUGUAAACUGGUUGGAAGAUGUUCCAUAACAGGCCCCCACAUCUCUUCAAACAUGGCACUGUCUCCCCUAACCACUGCAGUUAGUCUCUCAAUAGGCAAUAUUCUGAAGAUCUCUAUACCAAAGGGAAAGUGAUGGGGGUCUAUAGUGAAUCCAGUCAAUAAGGAUGCAUUUUCUAGCGGGUAACAGGAGUUUAUCACAGAGUAGAAACCGGUUAGCGGUUAAAGCGAUGUCUUUUGCUGGCAAUCCAAGUAAAAAAAAAAAACAGGGUCUUUGGUAAAGUUUAUUUUAAAAAUAUUCCCCAUCUUCCGUGCCACCCCCUCCCAAAACUUUGUGAUGACUGGACAAUUUCAAAAACAAUGCAUGAAAGUUCCAAUUUCACUCUGGAAUUUAUUGCAUAAUGGAGAGUAAUUACUAUUCAUCGUAUUCAGAAUUUGUGGGGUAAUGUAGCGUCUUAGCAAUAAUUCAUCUGGCUUUUUCCCUUGCCAGAUGAAUUUUGAAUAUUCUUUUUAAGAAAACCAGAGUGGUAAUAUUUGCAUGGGAUGUAAUAUUCAAGGAAGGAUGUUCAUUUUAAUGAGAUUAAUUCCCCCAUCCAAAAUAUGGGAUCUCCAACCCUGCUCCUGGAGAGCUACCAUCCUGCAGACUUCAGUUCCAACCCUGCUCCAACACACCUGUCUGUAAUUAUCAAGUAGCCCUGAACACCUUGAUUAGCUGCUUCAGGUGUGUUUGAUUGGGGUUGGAGCUGAAAUCUGCAGGACAGUAGCUCUCCAGGAACAGGGUUGGAGACCCCUGACUUAAAAGGACAAUUCAACAAGGAGCUAGUAGAGAUAUCUCCCCCUAGGGGCAUAACUUCAGAUUUAUCAUAAUUUAUCUUGUAACCCGAUAUCAAACUAAAAUAAUCAAUAGUCUUGAGAACUGUGGGAAUAGAAUUUUCCGCCUUUGUGAAAAAGAGAAGUAUAUUGUCAGCAUAUAAUGCAAUUUUAUGAACUGACUGACCAAUCUCAACCCCCUGGAUAUCAGUGUGAAUUCUAAUAGUCUCUGCAAGGGGUUCCAGAAUUAAGGCAAAAAGGAGAGGGGACAGAGAGCAAUCUUGCCUUGUACCUCGCCCUAGUGGAAAAGGAAGAGCGUGAAAGCCGUUGGUAAUAACACAAGCAGUUGGUGCACAGUAUAAAGUCUGAAUCUAGUUGAUAAAGUCUGUACCUAAAUUAAACUUGCCCAGCACCUCAAACAUACAAGCCCAAUCCACACGGUCAAACACCUUUUCUGUGUCUAAGGAAAUGGCAAGCCACUUGAGUUUUGGAUAUUUGUGAAUACUGUAUUAUGUUUAACAGUCUCCUGACAUUGGAAUAUGACAACCUUUGUUGAAUAAAACCUGUCUGGUCUGGGUUUAUUAGGUGAGGGAGGAGAGAUUCAAGUCUUCUUGCUAACAGCUUGGAUAGUAGCUUACAAUCCACAUUUAACAAUCUUAUAGGCCUGGCUUAUGAUUUUUUUAUGUGUGCUCUAGGAGUACCUGGAGACCGCGGGAUUCCUGGUGCAGCUGGACCUCCUGGUGAUAGAGGGCCGACGGGUAUACCUGGAGUCCCUGGUUAUCCAGGAGCAUCUAUAAAAGGUCUGAAAUAUCUUAAAUGUAAUUUUUGAAUUGUAUUUAUAUACUUAGAUGUCUUGGUGUGUAUUUUUCUUUUUUUUCUUUUUUCUCUUUCUAACUCUGCUCUGCUUUUAGGUCCAGUGGGUGAAUCUGGUUUACAGGGUUUAAAUGGACCUAAAGGAGAAAAAGGUGACCCAGGAAAAAUAUACGGGGCAUACUUAAACUAUGGUAAUGUUUCAGAUUUUUUUAUGUUUGCUUACCAAAAAAUUUUUAAUAUGCAUUUUCCUACACAUUAUAAUGACUUGAAAGAGUUAUUGUAUUAUUUGUGUGACUUAAUUGUUAGGGGCAAUCGUAGAAAGCUGGAUUUUUUUCUCAUUUUGAACUGAAGGUGCAAUUUCUACACCGGUUUUUGCUUAAAGCAUAUGUAUGAAAUGAUGUACGUUUAUAUUUGUAGUCAUUAGUGGGAUUUGAGGGAUUCAAAAUUUGUAAGUAGUGUAUUUAUUCAUAAUCUUAUUCAGAGACCUGCUGUUUUCUCCAAAACACAAUAAGUACUGCGUAGACUGGAAAAUAAUAAAAAAUCUUCAAUACCUGAAGUGGGGAAAUGUGUGUAUGUAUGUAUGUAUGUGUGUGUAUGUGU
rnacentral:lncRNA from 12 species